rnacentral:lncRNA from 1 species
AGAAAAAAACCCAGCAGUCACGUGAUCGGCGGCGAACAAAGAACGGUUUCAACACUUGGUUUCCAGCGUCAAAGCCCCUGAUGCAUGGAGAGAUGUGGUUCCUCUGCUCUGACGAUGAUAUAAUAAACCGAUUGAAUGUAACUUACCUGGGUUGUCGAUCAAAGGUGCCUUCCAUUUGCCUCUUGUAGUUGGGAUUCUUAAUUUUGUUUAUAAAAAAAGGCUCACGUUAUAGAGGAGAGCAUGUUCAACCACCAUUAUAUAGAAGCCUCCUCCAUGCAUUAACCCAGUAAAAAAAACCUUGCUAUUAUAUCUUGGAAUUGACUCUGCGUAUCUUGUGAUUCAAGUUCUACUUUCCUGUUCUGUUCCAUCAAUCGCAACCAAGACAUCAAUUUCAUAGCAGAAAGUAGCAGUAAACAUUUCCAGUCUAACCUAUUAAUACCCCCUUAAUUAAUUUAUUCAUGGUAAUUGUUUUUUUAAGGGAAAUUCAUGGUAAUUGUUGACUGCACAAAAAAAAGAGUAAAUUUCACAAAACCACUACUCCAGGGGUUAGGGUUUCACAGAGUUACCACUUCAGGAGCUUGCAUCAGUUUGUCACUGCUCUAAGUAUCGGCUUCCCCAAAUCUUACCGAUUAGUGCAUUUGACACUAACUGACAAGACGGGCCCACAGGCCCACAUGUAAGACAACUUUUGUUCCUUUCAUUUUUCAACUAGCCCCCUCGAUUUAUUUUCCCAUUCUCCUAUCCUCUUCUGCCUCUUCUUCUCCUGCUCUGGCCGCUGACGCCAUCCCCUGCUGGACCGACGCCAUGGCCGCUAGAAGGAACGGAUUUGAUGGCUGCCGGCCGUGUUGCCGCCGCCCUGACGCCGGAGCGCCGCCCCCAUCACCCCCAUGUGCGAAUCCGUCGGCGGAGGAGGGCGGCUCCUCCAACCCAAGAAGCGACGGUCUGCCCCACCAUGUUUGAUCCGGUCCGAGGAGAGGAGGUAGGUGAACUGGGAAUCAAAUCAAAAGGAGAGAUCUUGCGCCCGCAGCAUCAGCUUGACCCCAAUCCCAAGUAAGAACAGAAGGGAUCUGGAAAAAUCAAAGCCUGAUGCUCAAGAGGAGGACACAACGAGCAGACAAGAACCAUGGAUUGAAGCUUGAAACAAAUAAAACCAAUCUUCCUCCUCCUCCAUGAUUGCUGAAAAUUUUAGAAAAAGGGAGACCGGGGGCGAUACGGAACGGACUUAAUCAAACUUGGGCCGCCGCCGGGUCAUCCUACGCCGGCACCAUGUCCGCCGCCGGGGAAAGAUUGGGGAUCGGGACGAAUUGGGGAUCAGGAACUGCUCCUCUGGAGCUGGACUCGCUGCUCACCUUGGCUCUCUCCCUCUCCCUCAUGUCCUCCGGUGUGCUGAGCACGUGCAGCGGCUGCUCCACCCUCCUCUUGAUUAGUUUCCUGUUGCAAAGCAGAGCAUGGAGGUACGACGCAAACCAUGCUGCUAACUUGGAAUAAUUAAGCUACGCGAGCCUGUUAAUCGAACUUGACGGUGUGCACGCAGGAGUCCAUAGCGUCCGGCGGGUCACUCCACAGGUACGGGUGCGUCCUGGAACCACCGCGGACUCCGGCGAGAUGCUCCGACGAGAUGCAGGCAGCCGGAGCAGUUGAAGAAGGGGAGAAAAGAAUUAAUGGAAAUAACAGGGGGCUGAAUGAAUAAAUGGAUGCCACUUAGGACCUUACAAGUGGCCCCAACUAGUCAGUUCUGCUGUCAAAUGCACUAAUCCGCGAUAUUUGGGCAAACUGAUAGUUAUUGCCCAUAGAGUAGUGGCAAACUGAUGCAAGCCCGUGAAGUUGUGGCUCCGCGAAACCUUAGCCCCUAGAGCAGUGGUUUUGUGAAAUUUACUCAAAAAAGGACAAAAAAGGACAAAGGAAAUAUUAGCUGAUAUCCCCACAUAUCGUAAUUAAGGUCAAUUUACAGCGAGUACAAGUCGAAAGGCAUCUUCUACUUGCAUCUACAUGGUGAAGAUACAUUUCCCAACUUAAUUAACAUUACAAUGUUCCACAUAGUCAACGUACUGCCCAAGUGCAUCCAUGGCCAUGGCAUCAAAUGCAAUGUCUACGUACUGCCGAAGUGCAGCCAUGGCCAAUUGACAUUCGUGUACAUACUACUACUGAUCAUGAACAUACACAUAUCAACCCUGGCAAGUUUUAGGAAGUCAAGGAACCAAUGUACUCCCCUAGUAGUUCAGAAACCGGGAAUAUACAGUAAUUAAAGCCUCGGACAUACGAAGAGGUCAUACUUGGCACUUGGACUGAAACAAACAGACAAUGUUUUAAAAAGAAACAAGAAACGUCAUUGUGCAGGUUCUGCGGAUAACAAAUACCGAACUGCAGGCCUGCAGCAAUUUUUAUACGGAGUAGUAUGUAGCUACUUGUACUAUAUCAGCAGACCAAUACUCCAUUGAGGAAUCAGAAAAGGGGUUGGUAAGGUCCAGGCAUAUCUUGUAAUUUCACAAAUUUUAUCUGGCUGCUAUCAUUAUCAUGGUGAAUCAUCUGCUGCUGCAACUGCAAGUCUCUUUGGAGAAGGUUCAGCAGAGGAAGGCUUCGUGUUAGCUCGUCGGAUGCCUCCACCUACAGCGCCUCGGUCAGUUACACUACUUUCAGCAUUUCCUGUUGUUGUUGAUGUACGAAUUACUGGGGAAGCGAAGCUGCUGUUUAAUCCAGCCAUCUGCGAAGAAAUCAAUGGUGCAGCCCUUGACACAGCAUUGUCAACAUUCUGUUCUGCCUCUGGGGCAACCCUCUUCAUAAUCUCAACUGCGGCACAGCUUGGGGUUGACACUGCUUGCUCCACCUCUUCAAGCUGAAUCAAAACAAUUCAGAGAUGUCAUUGUUCCAUAUAAGCAUUGAAAAAUCUUUUCAUUGUUCAUGCGUACGCCACUAGGUUUAUUAGGAAAGCAAAGUUGAUGCCAUUAAUAAAAUCAGUUUAUUUACCUUCCUCUCCAGUUUAGCCAAUAUGCGAGUACGCCACAUCUCAUUAUCUUGAAUUGAUUUUGUACUUCCUUCCGCAGAAGAUGCACCUUUUCCCAGAGCAGAGAUGAUACACUCCAUAGUGUUGCCUGGGCUCUUCUCAACUAUUGUUCUUGCAAUAUUCAACAUUUUCCGGGACAGGUUUAAAUCAGAAUAUUCUUCAUCACCUGCCAUUUCACCAUGUGCCUUGUCACCAUCACUUUUCCUAUCUUCCUGAGCUAUGCCAUUUGAGUUUUGCCCUAAUCAAUGACCGUGGUAUGUAUCAAAGAAGAAAGAAAGUACAUUGAACAUGGAAAUCAACUACUGUAGUGUUGGACUCUUCAUGAAAAGAACUUCCUAUUUAAUAUAUAAAUAAAACAUAGAUACGAAAUGGCAAAAAGCCACUGAAAGCAAUAAGAUGCAUACAAAUGCAUAUUUAAAUGAACCAAUUUAAUCGGUAUCAUACGGUCAUCAUUAGUAUUGGUGCAUCUAAGAGAAAAUUAGUUAGAAUUCUGAUGGAAAUGUAAGGCAAUAAAUAUUCACAUAAUCAAAUUAUUGGACAGUUUCUGUAACGCAUAAUCGCUGAAAGAGGAACUUCUAUAUUGUAAAGUUAGCCCAUGCAAGUAUACUAAUUAGACAGCUAACUGCAAAAGAAUCGAAUGAAGCCAGUGCAUCAUAGAUCCUUAUCUGUUUAUUGUAGCAUUGCCAUUCGGCCAAGUCGAGUGUAGAUUUAAGAAAGGCAACAAUAAAUAUACAAACCAAUAGCAAAUAGCUUACAUAUGCCACUCCCGUUCAAAAUAUGGCUGAAAAGCAUAUUUAUAACAUUAACAUGAUGAAAUGCAUGCAUGCGAAAAAAUGAGCAAAACCACUUGAUUAAAACGGCCCCUUAUCGAAUGAUGAUAAGAAUUCAAGAAAUAAGUCGAAACAAUAAACAAUUUGUAUUUUCAAGGGAGACUUUACUUUGCAAAUGAAGAAGUACGUUACUAAUUAGCAGUUUGUUAUGUAUACUCUUUAGCAGGUAUGAGCAGAGGGAGAACAAAGGUUGUAAGCUGCAGAAUAUUUUAAUUAUUUAGAUCUCAUUUCACAGGUAAAGGAAUAAAGAUAUACCUUCUUCAGUAUCAACUUCCUCCAUAGAUGGAGCACCCUCAACAUUGCCGCCAGAGGCCUUUGAGUUUCCAGC